rnacentral:tRNA from 1 species
GCCUUCGUGGUGUAGUGGUCAGUACGCUCGACGCGUAACCGAGAGGUCCGUGGUUCGAUUCCCGGCGAAGGUG